GACGAACGCUGGCGGCGUGCUUAACACAUGCAAGUCGAGCGGUAAGGCCCUUUCGGGGUACGACGAGCGGCGAACGGUGAGUAACACGUGGGUGACCUGCCCUCAGCUCUGGGAUAAGCCUGGGAAACCGGGUCUAAUACUGGAUAUGACUCCAUGACGCAUGUUGUGGGGUGGAAAGCCUUGUGCGGCUGAGGAUGGGCCCGCGGCCUAUCAGCUUGUUGGUGGGGUGAGGCCUACCAAGGCGACGACGGGUAGCCGGCCUGAGAGGGCGACCGGCCACACUGGGACUGAGACACGGCCCAGACUCCUACGGGAGGCAGCAGUGGGGAAUCUUGCGCAAUGGGCGAAAGCCUGACGCAGCGACGCCGCGUGAGGGAUGACGGCCU
rnacentral:rRNA from 1 species